rnacentral:rRNA from 1 species
AUACGGAGGGUCCAAGCGUUAUCCGGAAUCAUUGGGUUUAAAGGGUUCGUAGGCGGGUCAAUAAGUCAGAGGUGAAAUCUUGCAGCUUAACUGUAAAAUUGCCUUUGAAACUGUUGACCUCGAAUUACUGUGAAGUGGUUAGAAUAUGUAGUGUAGCGGUGAAAUGCUUAGAGAUUACAUAGAAUACCGAUUGCGAAGGCAGAUCACUAACAGUAUAUUGACGCUGAUGAACGAAAGCGUGGGUAGCGAACGGGAUUAGAUACCCUAGUAGUCC